UACGUAGGUGGCAAGCGUUGUCCGGAUUUAUUGGGUUUAAAGGGUGCGUAGGCGGUCUUAUAAGUCAGUGGUGAAAUACGGCAGCUCGACUGUCGAGGUGCCAUUGAUACUGUAGGACUUGAGUACAGACGAGGUAGGCGGAAUUGACGGUGUAGCGGUGAAAUGCUUAGAUAUCGUCAAGAACACCGAUAGCGAAGGCAGCUUACUAGGCUGUAACUGACGCUGAGGCGCGAAAGCGUGGGGAGCAAACAGG
rnacentral:rRNA from 1 species